rnacentral:rRNA from 1 species
CCCGUUAAAAAUGCCUAAAAGCUAUAAACUGAAGGGCGACCACCCUAGUGUCUUCGGUUGGGGCGACCAUGGGGAAAACAAAUCCCCCACGUGGACUAAGAGCACAAACCCCUUUCCUAUAACCCCACUCUUACAAACCAGAGCAACAGCUCCAAUUAACAGAAUUUCUGACCAAAAAUGAUCCGGCAGUGCCGAUCAACGAACCA